GACGAACGCUGGCGGCGUGCUUAACACAUGCAAGUCGAACGGAAAGGCCCUGCUUUUGUGGGGUGCUCGAGUGGCGAACGGGUGAGUAACACGUGAGUAACCUGCCCUUGACUUUGGGAUAACUUCAGGAAACUGGGGCUAAUACCGGAUAGGAGCUCCUGCUGCAUGGUGGGGGUUGGAAAGUUUCGGCGGUUGGGGAUGGACUCGCGGCUUAUCAGCUUGUUGGUGGGGUAGUGGCUUACCAAGGCUUUGACGGGUAGCCGGCCUGAGAGGGUGACCGGCCACAUGGGGACUGAGAUACGGCCCAGACUCCUACGGGAGGCAGCAGUGGGGAAUAUUGCACAAUGGUCGGAAGCCUGAUGCAGCAACGCCGCGUGCGGGAUGACGGCCUUCGGGUUGUAAACCGCUUUCGCCUAUGACGAAGCGUGAGUGACGGUAAUGGGUAAAGAAGCACCGGCUAACUACGUG
rnacentral:rRNA from 1 species